AGGACGAACGCUGGCGGCGUGCUUAAUACAUGCAAGUCGAACGAGAUCCAUCCGGUAGCAAUACCGGUGAAGAUCUAGUGGCGAACGGGUGCGUAACACGUGAGCAACCUGCCUCGAAGACUGGGAUAACACCGGGAAACCGAUGCUAAUACCGGAUACCCCCACGAUCUCGCAUGGGAUUGUGAGGAAAGGAUUCUGCUUCGAGAGGGGCUCGCGGCCUAUCAGCUUGUUGGUGGGGUAAUGGCCUACCAAGGCAACGACGGGUAGCUGGUCUGAGAGGACGAUCAGCCACACUGGGACUGAGACACGGCCCAGACUCCUACGGGAGGCAGCAGUAGGGAAUCUUGCGCAAUGGGCGAAAGCCUGACGCAGCAACGCCGCGUGGGGAUGAAGGCCUUCGGGUUGUAACUCCUUUCAGUGGGAACGAAUUGACGGUACCACAGAAGAAGCCCGGCUAACUACGUGCCAGCAGCCGC
rnacentral:rRNA from 1 species